rnacentral:rRNA from 1 species
UCGGAACGUGCCCUGUAGUGGGGGAUAACUAGUCGAAAGAUUAGCUAAUACCGCAUACGACCUGAGGGUGAAAGUGGGGGACCGGCAAGGCCUCAUGCUAUAGGAGCGGCCGAUGUCUGAUUAGCUAGUUGGUGAGGUAAAGGCUCACCAAGGCGACGAUCAGUAGCUGGUCUGAGAGGACGAUCAGCCACACUGGGGCUGAGACACGGCCCAG